ACCCCGUACCUUUAACGAAAGUUUUGACCACGAUCCUAGACUUAGAACAUCAGAUAAAGAAUGUGGAAAUUGAAAUUUUUCUGUUCAGUUGUGAUAUGGUGGUUUACGCCCAUGAACAGUGACCGUAUUUCAAUUUACGACCAUGAACAGUGCCCGUAAACUGAAACCAAGAAUUUCUGAACAUUCUGGAAUUUGACAUUUUGAGGUCAUAUGGUUAAAUACGGACCGUAUUUCAAAACUUAUUUCGAAUUUGGGAAAACUUCCUUGAUAAAAGUUGUAGAGCAUUGAAAUACCUUUCCAACGGUAUCUUACGGGGGUCAAACGGACAUCUGUGCAAGGAGUUAUGGCCAUUUUACUGAAGCGACACAGUGCAGUCCAAAGUGCAGAAUACGGUCCGUAAAUCAAUUUACGGCCCGUAAACUGACUUUACGACCAGCAGUGUUCAGGUCGUAAAUUUCACUUUCACAGAACAAUAUAUAUUCGUCCAUAUCAGUUCAACUCAUUAUUUUUCAUUCCUUCAAACCCUAGAACGACCUCCUACUCUCCUCCAACAUCAAGAACACCAAGGGUUUUCAAGAAAACCCAUCUCAAGAUUCAAGAAUCAAGAUUUGGGAAAUCUUCUCCAAAAUUCAAGUCUUUAAUUCAGGUUUUGGAGCAAUUAAGGGUUUGCAACAUAUUUCCUUCCAAAGUGAUUCAAGCUAGGUUUUGGGUGUUCUUCAAUAGAAAAGUGAAUUGUUAAAUCUUGUUUAACAAAUUAAGGUAACGAAGAAGAGCAGGUUCGUGAUACUUUCGACGCUUAAUAGGACUUGCUACUGCUGUGGAUUUGGUGAGCCCACAUCCUUGUUCGUGGGACACUUUCCGUUUCAUUUAUUAUUCUAGAUUUCCGGGCUGCGUCCCGAAGUUUGACGAUUGUUAUGUCUCUUAGAAGCUCCAUAGAUAGUUGUCAGAAUUGUUGGUAGAUUGUCAAAAGUCUCGUACGACUUAAUGGGUGUUUGCCACGUUGAUGGCCAUUGCUUAUAAAGACUUCCGCUGAUUUAAUUCAUGUGUUACAUUUAAUUUAUAA